rnacentral:rRNA from 1 species
CACGUAGGGCGCAAGCGUUGUCCGGAAUUAUUGGGCGUAAAGAGCUCGUAGGCGGUCUGUUACGUCUGCUGUGAAAACCCAGGGCUUAACCCUGGGCUUGCAGUGGAUACGGGCAGACUAGAGGCAGGUAGGGGAGAAUGGAAUUCCCGGUGUAGCGGUGAAAUGCGCAGAUAUCGGGAGGAACACCGGUGGCGAAGGCGACCACCUGGACGGUGAUUGACGCUGAGGCGCGAAAGCGUGGGGAGCAAACAGG